rnacentral:pre_miRNA from 1 species
UUUCUACUCCCUUCGUCCCAAAAUUCUUGUCUUAAAUUUGUCUAGAUACGGAUGUAUCUAACACUAAAACGUAACUAGAUACAUCCGUAUUUAGACAAAUCUAAGACAAGAAUUUUGGGACGGAGGGAGUAUAUU